rnacentral:rRNA from 1 species
AGAGUUUGAUCAUGGCUCAGAACGAACGCUGGCGGCAGGCCUAACACAUGCAAGUCGAACGAGAAGCCACCUUCGGGUGGUGGACAGUGGCAGACGGGUGAGUAACGCGUGGGAACGUGCCUUUCGGUUCGGGACAACCCAGGGAAACUUGGGCUAAUACCGGAUACGCCCUUCGGGGGAAAGAUUCAUUGCCGAAAGAUCGGCCCGCGUCGGAUUAGCUAGUUGGUGGGGUAAUGGCCUACCAAGGCGACGAUCCGUAGCUGGUCUGAGAGGAUGACCAGCCACACUGGGACUGAGACACGGCCCAGACUCCUACGGGAGGCAGCAGUGGGGAAUAUUGGACAAUGGGCGAAAGCCUGAUCCAGCCAUGCCGCGUGGGUGAAGAAGGCCCUAGGGUUGUAAACCCCUUUCAGCGGGGAAGAUAAUGACGGUACCCGCAGAAGACGUCCCGGCUAACUCCGUGCCAGCAGCCGCGGUA